UAGGGAAUCUUCGGCAAUGGACGAAAGUCUGACCGAGCAACGCCGCGUGAGUGAAGAAGGUUUUCGGAUCGUAAAACUCUGUUGUUAGAGAAGAACAAGGACGUUAGUAACUGAACGUCCCCUGACGGUAUCUAACCAGAAAGCCACGGCUAACUACGUGCCAGCAGCCGCGGUAAUACGUAGGUGGCAAGCGUUGUCCGGAUUUAUUGGGCGUAAAGCGAGCGCAGGCGGUUUCUUAAGUCUGAUGUGAAAGCCCCCGGCUCAACCGGGGAAGGUCAUUUGAAACUGGGAGACUUGAGUGCGGAAGAGGAGAGUGGAAUUCCAUGUGUAGCGGUGAAAUGCGUAGAUAUAUGGAGGAACACCAGUGGCGAAGGCGGCUCUCUGGUCUGUAACUGACGCUGAGGCUCGAAAGCGUGGGGAGCAAACAGG
rnacentral:rRNA from 1 species